UACGUAGGGUGCGAGCGUUAAUCGGAAUUACUGGGCGUAAAGCGUGCGCAGGCGGUGAUGUAAGACAGAUGUGAAAUCCCCGGGCUCAACCUGGGAACUGCAUUUGUGACUGCACGGCUAGAGUGUGUCAGAGGGGGGUAGGAAUUCCACGUGUAGCAGUGAAAUGCGUAGAGAUGUGGAGGAAUACCGAUGGCGAAGGCAGCCCCCCUGGGAUAACACUGACGCUCAUGCACGAAAGCGUGGGGGAGCAAACAGG
rnacentral:rRNA from 1 species